GACGAACGCUGUCGGCGUGCUUAACACAUGCAAGUCGAACGGAAAGGCCCUGCUUUUGUGGGGUGCUCGAGUGGCGAACGGGUGAGUAACACGUGAGUAACCUGCCCUUGACUUUGGGAUAACUUCAGGAAACUGGGGCUAAUACCGGAUAGAAGCUCCUGCUGCAUGGUGGGGGUUGGAAAGUUUCGGCGGUUGGGGAUGGACUCGCGGCUUAUCAGCUUGUUGGUGGGGUAGUGGCUUACCAAGGCUUUGACGGGUAGCCGGCCUGAGAGGGUGACCGGCCACAUUGGGACUGAGAUACGGCCCAGACUCCUACGGGAGGCAGCAGUGGGGAAUAUUGCACAAUGGGCGGAAGCCUGAUGCAGCAACGCCGCGUGCGGGAUGACGGCCUUCGGGUUGUAAACCGCUUUCGCCUGUGACGAAGCGUGAGUGACGGUAAUGGGUAAAGAAGCACCGGCUAACUACGUG
rnacentral:rRNA from 1 species